AUUGAACGCUGGCGGCAUGCCUUACACAUGCAAGUCGAACGGUAACGGGCCUUCGGGUGCCGACGAGUGGCGAACGGGUGAGUAAUGUAUCGGAACGUACCUUUCAGUGGGGGAUAACGUAGCGAAAGUUACGCUAAUACCGCAUAUUCUGUGAGCAGGAAAGCAGGGGAUCGCAAGACCUUGCGCUGAUUGAGCGGCCGAUAUCAGAUUAGCUAGUUGGUGAGGUAAAAGCUCACCAAGGCGACGAUCUGUAGCGGGUCUGAGAGGAUGAUCCGCCACACUGGAACUGAGACACGGUCCAGACUCCUACGGGAGGCAGCAGUGGGGAAUUUUGGACAAUGGGGGCAACCCUGAUCCAGCCAUGCCGCGUGAGUGAAGAAGGCCUUCGGGUUGUAAAGCUCUUUCGGCCGGGAAGAAAUCCUAUCAGCUAAUACCUGGUGCGGAUGACGGUACCGGCAUAAGAAGCACCGGCUAACUACGUGCCAGCAGCCGCAGUAAGAC
rnacentral:rRNA from 1 species